AGCUUUGCGCAGUGGCAGUAUCGUAGCCAAUGAGGUUUAUCCGAGGCGCGAUUAUUGCUAAUUAAAAUGCAACCCUAGACCUCCAUUCCAGGAUCCCCACAGGGUCCUCCCUGUCCUCACACCCAAUAGAUGCUCUACAAAUGUGAACCGUGACUGAGGACAAAAGAGCACAUCUCAGGAAUUCUUUCCAUACCGAUGAUAACCAGAAAUUAAGGUUUCAAACUAAGCUGUCUUUUUAUUAUUUAUUUAUUUAUUUAUUUAAUUUUUUAAAAGAUUUUAUUU
rnacentral:snRNA from 13 species